AUUGAACGCUGGCGGCAGGCCUAACACAUGCAAGUCGAACGAGUGGCGGACGGGUGAGUAAUGUCUGGGAAACUGCCUGAUGGAGGGGGAUAACUACUGGAAACGGUAGCUAAUACCGCAUAACAUCAGAUGUGCCCAGAUGGGAUUAGCUAGUUGGUGGGGUACAGGCUCACCAAGGCGACGAUCCCUAGCUGGGCUGAGAGGAUGAACAGCCACACUGAAACUGGGACACGGUCCAGACGCCUACGGGAGGCAGCAGUGGGGAAUAGUGCACAAUGGGCGCAAGCCUGAUACAGCCAUGCCGCGUGUAUGAAGAAUUCCUUCGGGUUGUAAAGUACUUUCAGCGGGGAUGCGUUGCCCGCAGAAGAAGCACCGGCUAACUCCGUGCCAGCAGCCGCGGUAAUAC
rnacentral:rRNA from 1 species